GGGAACCGCCUGAACUGAAACAUCUAAGUAGGGCGAGGAAGAGAAAUCAACCGAGAUUCCGCUAGUAGUGGCGAGCGAACGCGGAAGAGGCCAAACCGGAGGUAGCAAUAUUUCCGGGGUUAGGACUGCAAUAUGUAACUUUAAUCUUUAACUGAAUGCUUUGGGAAGAGCAGCGAUACAGGGUGAUAGCCCCGUAAGUGAAAAGGAUUGAGUGCUAGCAGUAUCCAGAGUACCAGCGGACACGUGAAACCCGCUGGGAAGAUGGGGGGACCAUCCUCCAAGCCUAAAUACUACUCAGUGACCGAUAGUGGAGCAGUACCGUGAGGGAAAGGUGAAAAGUACCCCGGGAGGGGAGUGAAAAAGAACCUGAAACCUUGUGCCUACAAGCACCGAGAGCACGUUAAAGUGUGAUCGGGUACUUUUUGUAGAACGGUCCGGCGAGUUAAUAUUUGCAGCGAGGUUAAGGAACUGGAGUUCCGGAGCCGCAGCGAGAGCGAGUCUGAAUAGGGCGUAUGAAGUUGCAGGUAUUAGACCCGAAACCGGGUGACCUAUCCAUGAGCAGGCUGAAGCGGUGGUAAGACACCGUGGAGGGCCGCACCCACGUCUGUUGAAAAAGCCGGGGAUGACUUGUGGAUAGCGGAGAAAUUCCAAUCGAACUCGGAGAUAGCUGGUUCUCCCCGAAAUAGCUUUAGGGCUAGCGUUAUUUUAGAUUACCGGAGGUAAAGCACUGAAUGGUCUAGGGGCCGCGAGGUUACCAAAGCCUAUCAAACUCUGAAUGCCGGAUAAUUGAUGAAUAGCAGUCAGACUGUGUGAGAUAAGUCUCAUAGUCAAAAGGGAAACAGCCCAGAUCUACAGCUAAGGUCCCAAAUGAACACUAAGUGGAAAAUGAUGUGAAACUGCGAAGACAACCAGGAUGUUGGCUUAGAAGCAGCCACUCAUUCAAAGAGUGCGUAAUAGCUCACUGGUCGAGUGGUUUUGCGCAGAAAAUGUAACGGGGCUAAGUGUUCAACCGAAGCUUAGGCAUUGUACGCAAGUACAUUGGGUAGGGGAGCGUCGUAUGCGGGGCGAAGUCAGAGCGGAAGCACUGGUGGACUGCAUACGAGUGAGAAUGCCGGAAUAAGUAGCGAGAAUUAUGUGAGAAUCAUAAUGGCCGAAAAUCUAAGGUUUCCUGGGGAAGGUUCGUCCGCCCAGGGUUAGUCGGGAGCUAAGCUCAGGCCGAAAGGCGUAGGCGAUGCACAUACGGUAGAAAUUCCGUAACCACCGAACUUUAAGCUAGAGGGACGCUUUCUUUAAGGUUAUCCCGGGCGAUGGUUGCCCCGGGCGUAAGGGACCGAAAUUUAGUAGGGAAGUAACUGGCGAGAGAGACGAGAAAAGCUCUAGUGUAUACUAAGGUGCCCGUACCGCAAACCGACACAGGUAGAAGGGAUGAGUAUUCUAAGGCCAACGGGAGAAGGGUUGUUAAGGAACUCGGCAAAUUGGCCCCGUAACUUCGGGAUAAGGGGCGCCUGCGAGAGCAGGCCGCAGUGAAAAGGCCCAAGCGACUGUUUAGCAAAAACACAGCUCUCUGCUAAAUCGAAAGAUGACGUAUAGGGGGUGACGCCUGCCCGGUGCUGGAAGGUUAAGGGGAGUGCUUAGCGCAAGCGAAGGUGCGAACUUAAGCCCCAGUAAACGGCGGCCGUAACUAUAACGGUCCUAAGGUAGCGAAAUUCCUUGUCAGGUAAG
rnacentral:rRNA from 1 species